CCUACCGGCUUGCGCGUUACUUCAGGGACAUGCAUACUCGAGUAACAGUAGAGUUAUUCAAAUGAAGAAAAGAACUUAAAACUUUGCAUUACAAGAAGAAAUCGAACGGGCGUCUUUACAAGCAUCCAUCGCAACCAUCAAUUGCCUUUUCUCUAGCACUUCGAAACAUCCUAGGCUUUAGAAGUAUUAGCAUUUAGCCAAUCGGCGGCCAUUUACUGUCUGUUGUAUCAAGCCAGCGAUCACAGCGGCGCCAAGAAAUCCAAAUAGUCUUCAAAGCUGCUGUCCACAUCUCACAAUGGAAGUCGUGUUUAUUAAUUGAAGCCAGCAUGGUGCACCGUUAUUAAAUACUUCAGGGACACAAAAGUAUCCAUCUCAACCAUAAAUCAAAUGUUGUGGUUUAUUGCAUUUAUUGCUUUGAACUUUCUCGUUCAAUGCACCGGAAUAAAUCCUCCACGGACAGAUACGAGAAAACGUCUGACUACGGAAGCGGAGAAAAAAAUUCCAAACAUUGUGUCUAGGCAAACCAUGUCCGAGCUACAAACAUUAAAGACAACGAGUAAAAGUUCAUCUCAAAAGCCUGUGACCCCAGCGCCGUUAAAUGAAUUUUCACUCAACGACAUACUCUUUA